rnacentral:rRNA from 1 species
AACGUACGCUGGCGGCACGCCUUAUACAUGCAAGUCGAACGAAGUAGCAAUACUUAGUGGCAGACGGGUGAGUAACAUGUGGGUAUCUUCCCUUUGGUGAGGAAUAACACGAGGAAACUUGUGCUAAUACCUCAUAAGUCUUUACGGAGAAAGCUUUAUGCGCCAUUGGAUGAGCCCGCACUUGAUUAGUUAGUUGGCAGGGUAAUGGCCUACCAAGACUUUGAUCAAUAGCUGAUUUGAGAGGAUGAUCAGCCACAUUGGGACUGAGACACGGCCCAAACUCCUACGGGAGGCAGCAGUAAGGAAUCUUGCACAAUGGAGGAAACUCUGAUGCAGCGAUGCCGCGUGAGUGAAGAAGGCCUUUGGGUUGUAAAGCUCUUUCGUCGGGGAAGAAAAUGACUGUACCCGAAUAAGAAGGUCCGGCUAACUUCG